rnacentral:rRNA from 1 species
UACGUAGGGGGGCUAGCGUUGUCCGGAAUCAUUGGGCGUAAAGCGCGUGUAGGCGGUUCGGUAAGUCCGCUGUGAAAGUCGGGGGCUCAACCCUCGAAUGCCGGUGGAUACUGUCGGACUAGAGUACGGAAGAGGCGAGUGGAAUUCCUGGUGUAGCGGUGAAAUGCGCAGAUAUCGGGAGGAACACCAAUGGCGAAGGCAGCUCGCUGGGACGUGACUGACGCUGAGACGCGAAAGCGUGGGGAGCAAACAGG